UACGUAGGGUGCGAGCGUUGUCCGGAAUUAUUGGGCGUAAAGAGCUUGUAGGCGGUUUGUCGCGUCUGCUGUGAAAAUCCGGGGCUCAACCCCGGACUUGCAGUGGGUACGGGCAGACUGGAGUGUGGUAGGGGAGACUGGAAUUCCUGGUGUAGCGGUGGAAUGCGCAGAUAUCAGGAGGAACACCGAUGGCGAAGGCAGGUCUCUGGGCCACUACUGACGCUGAGGAGCGAAAGCGUGGGUAGCAAACAGG
rnacentral:rRNA from 1 species